CACGUAGGGCGCAAGCGUUGUCCGGAAUUAUUGGGCGUAAAGAGCUCGUAGGCGGUCUGUUACGUCUGCUGUGAAAACCCAGGGCUUAACCCUGGGCUUGCAGUGGAUACGGGCAGACUAGAGGCAGGUAGGGGAGAAUGGAAUUCCCAGUGUAGAGGUGAAAUUCGUAGAUAUUGGGAAGAACACCGGUGGCGAAGGCGGCGACCUGGUCCGAUACUGACGCUGAGGCGCGAAAGCGUGGGGAGCAAACAGG
rnacentral:rRNA from 1 species